AUAGCUCAGUGGUAGAGCGCGUGCUUAGCAUGCAUGAGGUCCUGGGUUCAAUCCCCAGU
rnacentral:tRNA from 1 species